rnacentral:rRNA from 1 species
GAUGAACGCUGGCGGCGUGCCUAAUACAUGCAAGUCGAGCGAACAGACGAGGAGCUUGCUCCUCUGACGUUAGCGGCGGACGGGUGAGUAACACGUGGAUAACCUACCUAUAAGACUGGGAUAACUUCGGGAAACCGGAGCUAAUACCGGAUAAUAUAUUGAACCGCAUGGUUCAAUAGUGAAAGACGGUUUUGCUGUCACUUAUAGAUGGAUCCGCGCCGCAUUAGCUAGUUGGUAAGGUAACGGCUUACCAAGGCAACGAUGCGUAGCCGACCUGAGAGGGUGAUCGGCCACACUGGAACUGAGACACGGUCCAGACUCCUACGGGAGGCAGCAGUAGGGAAGCUUCCGCAAUGGGCGAAAGCCUGACGGAGCAACGCCGCGUGAGUGAUGAAGAUCUUCGGAUCGUAAAACUCUGUUAUUAGGGAAGAACAAAUGUGUAAGUAACUAUGCACGUCUUGACGGUACCUAAUCAGAAAGCCACGGCUAACUACGUG